AUCAAAGCAUGACUCGGUUUGUUUGAGGAUACACUGGUGUGAGUUUUGGGGCGGGGCUACGGAUUUUUGGCCAAUGACACCAGACAGAGUGAGUGUUUGGGGUUCGGGGGUAUCCUGUUUUUCAAACCCAAUACAGGACAGUUUGUCUACCUGGAUCAAAAAAUACAAUGGCCUUCAAGCAGGCAUAUUCAUUGUCAUCGAUCUGGAGAUCUUGGAAGGGAAGGACUAAUUCGUCAAGGAUUCUUACAGCCACACGGCUCACCUCCAAUUCGGGGCAGUUUCGAGGAACUAUAUGAUCAUUACCUGAGAGAAACAUGGAAAAUUGUGAGCACUUUACCUAGAGUACUUUGAGUCAUUACAUCCCAGUAAGAAAAGAGGAACUUCAGCCAUUCUGUCCACAUUAUUCAUCUUCUCCAGCAAAUAGGCCCUAUUUACCAGUCAUUAUGGAUUUGCCACACCUCCCGAAUUGCAGCCGUGCACCACAAUCUCUCACGAAUGGUGAUAAUAGCUACCAUAUUGGAUGAAAUGUCAACGAACAAAAUGCCAUGCAACAACAUGUUCCACCAAGAUCACCAAAGCACCCACCAUUUUUUUCCCUGAAACUAUAUCGAAAGAGACGGAGUACUUACCAUACGGUGGAUCCAUAUGGGUGCCAACCUGAGCGUUCACAUUGACCAUGAUGUCUCUUCUGCUCCCCACCACUGUGUUUUUGUAAUUUUUCUCUCUUUAAGUGUAAAAGAUGAUGAGGAAUAAACACAUAUAAGUUUUGCACAGUC